GUGGUUUCUUCCGGCGGCAAGGCGCCAUGUUUAUUUUUCGCUCGAAAGAACUUUCUUUCUCAAUUUGCGAGUUAAAUAAAUUAACAAGUUAAACAGAAGUUAAAUUAAGUAAUAUGAUAAGUAGUAAUAGUAACAACUCCUUGAAGAUUUUACCCUGUGUAGUCGUACUUGAGCUGCUGCGGAUGUUAGUUUGUUCUCGGUAUGAUUCCUCACAAGAAGAACGGUUCUCUGGGUUCUCUGCCAGCAAAACAGAAAGCGUCACCGUUGCCGGUAGUGCAUUCAUUGGCAUUGGUGUUUAUUCCGCAUAUUCAUAUAUUUCGGUUCAGCCAGGAUUGACUCACGACAACUUUGAAACGACCAUCGGACUUGCCGUCGGAACAUCGGAUAAGGCAACCUGAACAUACAGCAAGGACUCGCUCCACAACAAUAAUUAACCGGGAUCGUAGUACAGAUCAGUUCAGCAGGAAUCACUCCUAAUAAAAAUUGCAUUGACUUCGUCUCCUUGAUGGAAAGGAUUCCGGAAAACUGUCAACGGAAAUAUUUAGUCUGCGCAACUAGCUUUGCUUGUGAAAUAACCGGUUUUGAAGCGCCUACGGAUGCAGAAGCCUUCCAUGCUAUAUUGCUCAAUAUCACUCCGGCGAAGGUAAUCCAGUGUAUGGGCUACCAUUGGUCUGCAGAUCGAUACUGGAACCACCUGGAACCUAGAUUCCGAAUAAUUCAUGAAAUGCAGUCUGUGAAUAAACAACCUGUUUCCGGCGUGGCAUGCAACCUAUACGGACGGCAACGGGAUUAAUGGCAAAUCCUCUUUGCAGAUCUGCGUCAAGAUAUGUACCGAUGUA